CACCAGCAGCCCGCCGUAAUACAGAGGGUGCGAGCGUUAAUCGGAUUUACUGGGCGUAAAGCGUGCGUAGGCGGCUUUUUAAGUCGGAUGUGAAAUCCCCGAGCUUAACUUGGGAAUUGCAUUCGAUACUGGGAAGCUAGAGUAUGGGAGAGGAUGGUAGAAUUCCAGGUGUAGCGGUGAAAUGCGUAGAGAUCUGGAGGAAUACCGAUGGCGAAGGCAGCCAUCUGGCCUAAUACUGACGCUGAGGUACGAAAGCAUGGGGAGCAAACAGGAUUAGAUACCCUGGUAGUCCAUGCCGUAAACGAUGUCUACUAGCCGUUGGGGCCUUUGAGGCUUUAGUGGCGCAGCUAACGCGAUAAGUAGACCGCCUGGGGAGUACGGUCGCAAGACUAAAACUCAAAGGAAUUGACGG
rnacentral:rRNA from 1 species